AACGUAGGACGCAAGCGUUAUCCGGAGUUACUGGGCGUAAAGCGCGGGCAGGCGGCCCGAAACGUCUGAUGUGAAAUCUCCUCGCUCAACGGGGAGAGGCCAUUGGAAACGGUCGGGCUGGAGGGCAGUAGAGGUAGGCGGAAUUCCGGGUGGAGUGGUGAAAUGCGUAGAGAUCCGGAGGAACACCAGAGGCGAAGGCGGCCUACUGGGCUGGCACCUGACGCUGAGCCGCGAAAGCCAGGGGAGCGAACGGG
rnacentral:rRNA from 1 species